rnacentral:lncRNA from 1 species
GAAGGUAAAUUCAACUCUAAGGAUGCAUUGGUGGAAUCUCUCUGCAAGUAACCCUGAGGAAAGGAGAAGAAGGGAAGGGAAAAUCACACAAGAAGCCUGGAAAGUGAGGAGGUAGUCUCAGAUCAGAUGCACUGUGGAGCCUAUGUCUAGAAGUGACUCUCCAGGGGAGCUAAAAUCCAUGUAUUUGGGCACACACUUGAACAAUAUUGCUAGAGAAAUUUAAGCAAGAGCACAAAGGUUAAUGACAUCUCUUGUGGGGACCACUGUGAGAAUAAAACAAGGCACUACGUUGUCUGGGAUGAUGGAAGGAGCUAAAGUCUUCAGUGAAUGAAGGAGCAGGACCAGGAGCUCAAAAUACUUCUUUGAAGACAAAGAAGAAAUGAUAUUACCAAAUGGUUGGCUCAAAAGAACAGGGAUUUUGCAACAGAGAGAGUAUGUCAUGGUCUUGAACAAGCAAUGUUUUGCCAGGACGAUUAAAUAUCAUUGAUGCUUCUGGUCUACAAUUAGUCAGAGAAGAGAUUAAAAAAAUGAUGAGUAUUCAAGAAGGAAAGUGUUUGCUUUAACAUAUGAAGAAAAGGAGCUUCAGAGUGGUGAUUAACCCCAGAAUUGUGUGGAACGGAUAUGGAAACAAGACCACAGGAGCAUCGAGAACUGAGCAGAACUGAAGGUGACAUGAAAAUCAGCUGCAAGAUUCACCUCAGGGUGAUAAUGGGCUGCAGGUGGCUGCAGGAAUCCCGGGACAUUCUAGGCACUGCCAUAUUUUCUUAGGGGCCAGUAAGGAUGGCUAUCAUCAGAUGUACCUGAUGAUACAAACAUGGGCUGUCUUGCCUUCUAGUAUUCAUUCUUGAUGAUUGCAUCCAGAGCUCACUUUGGAGGUGCAGAUCAACUCUUCUUCAGGCUCAUCCAUGCGACUUGAGUGGGCUCUCAUCCCCAUUCCCAGGGGCUUAUGACAAUCAAGGUUUCCACUCCUCCAUGGUCUCAAUGGUUUUUCUCCCCAUGGGAAGCACAUAAUCCCAUUAGAGGCCACGGGAAGCUUUUUUGUUGGGCUUUGAGGGAAAAAAGGCUUUUGCAGCCAAUGAAUCGAUCAAUGUGUACUUCAACCUGGAUUGUAUGUAUGCAUCUCCUAGAUUGGGCGGAUGAUGAAGUGAGGCUGGAAGUGCUGAGCAUCUUCCUACCUGGGAUGACUGGGCUGAGCAGGAAGCCUACCCCGGGGUUCCAGCCAAGUUGGAGCCUGUGAGUGUGUGGUGUAGUUUAACGCCCUGAUUAAAUCACUAGGAAGCCAUUUCUCUCUCUCCUCCCAGACCAGAUCAGACAAUAUGUUCCCUUAUUUCUACUAAAGCCCCAAUUGGAUUUUGUGUCUUUUGAUACUGAAAGAAUCUUACCACAAAUAAAAUAAUUUGUCAUGUGGCUCCUACAUAUUUAUUCAGUUACAUAAACUAACUAAAUAAAUGAAUAAACUGUCAAUAAUGGUAGUUCCUCAUCUAUGAAUGACUCUUUACAAAGCCUAUCUCGCUUAAUAGUCAUAAUAAAUACUGAAGUAGAUACUAUUUAUACCUUUUUUUUAAAAGGAAUUAAAUAUUUUCAGGGUUAUACAAAGCAUGAGUAUUGUGGGUACAAAUUCAAGCUUUCUAACUCAAAUUUGAAGACUUAUCCCCAGGAUACUUUUACAUCUUUAGCUAGUACCAUGUAUACCUCAAAAGCUUACAUUAUUUUUCACAUGUGUUAGGUUUUGAGGGAUAAUCAAUAAGGAGGGCAUACUUUCAGGCUUCUUAUUUAUAACUGUGAAAUUUAGAAAUUGAUGGAGUAGCAGAUUUCUCGGUAGGAGACAGCUGUUUUAAAAUGCCCCAUGUUUUUAUUAAAGUAAAAAUCUCAAAAAUUGUCUUUUAAAAAGUGGCUCUGGCCAAUCUUAGAUAAAACAUCAUUUACUAGACUUAGGAAUUUCCUGUAGUAAAUUUCAGAUUUACUUUUCGGUCUCACAUCAUCAAAGAGAUCAUAACCCUUUGUGCAAUUAUGGUCUUGAACCAAGGCCUAUUCUCUAGGUCACUGCUGUCAGGACUUCAAGAUAAUUGUUUCCAUUGCAGGAUUUGAUUUUUAAUUCCCCGGAUGUUCUUGACGUGGUUCAGUUCUUCAGGAAAUCAUCACCCUCAUGAGCCCUCCCUGCCACUUGCAGAUAGGGCUUUCUCCCGGUAAGUUCUGGAGUCACGGCAGAGCUCAAUAAGUCUGAUUGGGACCUCCUAUGAUUAU